AGAAGACCAUAACAGGUUGGUUUAACACAAAAAGGUAAAUAUUACUCACAGACAUAUGCUCUUUAGGGUUUUAGCAGGGCAAAAAUAAGAUAAAGCAAAAUAAAAUAAAAAACCAAAGCAGAAGAUCAAAGUAUUGCUUCAUUGAUUGAAGGUUCAAAGUAUCCACCACACCCUGCUCUACUUGGGGAAGGUCUGCCAAUGUUCCCACGAAGACAGGGAGGAGAAGGACCGUGGCUCAUGGCAAGCAGUAAACAGAGCGGAGAGGAGUGAAAAUUCACACAGUCUCUUCCUCCGCAGUCCACGUUGACACUGCUGCUGCUUUGAUUAGGGCAGAAUGGGAUGUUGCUUUGACGGUGAGAGUAUCAUGGUUGGGCCCCAAAACAUGCAUGACACCACGUGCACACGUGUAUGUGUGGUUAAAUUUUGCAAAUGACGGAAAUCCGUCAUGGUGAUGGAGAACUUUAACCCAUGAUCUUUCUUUCAAUGACCAUGUUGUUCGUAGGUCAUUUGUAAGGUCUUGGGAUUUUGUGAUUUUCUCUUUUCAGCUCUAUUCAGGCCAUAGUCAUUGGGGGCUGUCACAUCAAUAAUUUUUGCUGUCUUCUCUUGCUUGUUUCAGAUGACAGUAUCAGGUUUAACUGCACCUCCUUCAAUAAGUCUUCCUGCUGGGAUCUCUUUGUCGUAGAAGAUAGUCACUUUUCCGCUGGAUGAGACUGGUGCUGGCUCAUGCUCCAAAACGUUUCUUCAA